GAUGAACGCUGGCGGCGUGCCUAAUACAUGCAAGUCGAGCGAACAGACGAGGAGCUUGCUCCUCUGACGUUAGCGGCGGACGGGUGAGUAACACGUGGAUAACCUACCUAUAAGACUGGGAUAACUUCGGGAAACCGGAGCUAAUACCGGAUAAUAUAUUGAACCGCAUGGUUCAAUAGUGAAAGACGGUUUUGCUGUCACUUAUAGAUGGAUCCGCGCCGCAUUAGCUAGUUGGUAAGGUAACGGCUUACCAAGGCAACGAUGCGUAGCCGACCUGAGAGGGUGAUCGGCCAAACUGGAACUGAGACACGGUCCAGACGCCUACGGGAGGAAGCAGUAGGGAAUCUGCCGCAAUGGGCGAAAGCCUGACGGAGCAACGCCGCGUGAGUGAUGAAGGUCUUCGGAUCGUAAAACUCUGUUAUUAGGGAAGAACAAAUGUGUAAGUAACUAUGCACGUCUUGACGGUACCUAAUCAGAAAGCCACGGCUAACUACGUG
rnacentral:rRNA from 1 species